GCCACUGUCUCACCCUACUGCUGAUAAAAAUAGCAGUAGCAGUAACCGUAUGUUUUACACCCCUACUUAUCUCCUUCUUCUUUCAGCUUUCUAGUUUUACUGCUGGCUGUCAGGAUAAAUGACCUGAUGAAGGACACACAUUUCUCACACAUUCAGAAAUCUUCUGUCAAACCCGAAGCGUUCCGGCACUUGUGGUGGAGAGCAGUGGUUCUCGGGAGAGUCACAAUCCAAAAAAAGCCUCACAGAGGAAGAUCUUGACUCUAAGUGUCUCUCAUAACCCCAGAGAGAUGCCAGACAAGAUGGAAGUCCGCAAAUGCCAGAAAGCUCUUUUGAGUACAUACAGUUUUGUGAAAAGCAUUUGCAGGGAACACAAUCUUCCCAGAGGAAGUUACGAAAGAACAUACAGUUGUUAUUCUGUGUUAAUGGGUGACAAAAAGAGCCAUAUGAUGAUUGGCUGAGAAAAAAACACCCACCUUUUCAUGCCCCAGCAUUCCUCUCUCAGUAAUAUGAGUUCAUAUUUCAAUAUACUUGUGUAGAAUGGCUUUGAAUUUUUGCUCUUUUAUUCCUGAAAACGCUCCAGCUGGACUCAACAAAUGAAUGCGAAGAAUCCAAAACCAGAAUCUGAUGACUUGGAGAAAGAUAUUGCAUUACUUUGACUAAAUUACAAUUAUGUGACUUCCUUUAGGGCACUAUAAAUAGAUGAGUACAGAUGAUGGUUAUAAUAAAGCAAGAAAUGGGUUCCAUCCCUGUUUAUGCACUAUAAUACGUAGAGUUUAUUGACAAACACAACAGUGAGAUUUAUUUAAAUGAAUAGUUUGUGAAUUAUUUAUUGACCUUAACAUUGUCCCCAGCCAUAUGACUUGUCUUGAAUUCCAACGUGAAACACAAAAGAAGCUUUGAAUAAUAUUCAUGCAGAUCUUUUUCAUACAAUAAAUACAGACAAGUUUUGUUCCAAAUAAAACAUCAUAUCAUAUGAAGUUAUAUGUUACUGAAAUUUAAAUUGACUAAAACAUAUCUGCUGCACUAUCAAUUCUCAAUAACAAAUCAACAUAUUCAAAAUUGAUUUUUAGACACAUAGCAACCAUUUAUAUUAUGUUGAGUAGUCAUUUUGCAUUCUUGGGUCAACUAUUCAUUUUAAAUUGCUAAGCCCACCUUAAUAAAUUCAUAGGAUGUGUUUUAAGUUUAAUAAAGGACAUUUCACAUCGCACCAACAGACUAAAACCAACGCAGACAGACGAACGAGCAAAGUACAUAACUUCUCUAACAUUCCAAGAUCCGACAAACACCUAUUCAACAUGUUCAAAUGGCGAAAACGUGCCAACCAAUGGGGUAACACACCAAUCAGACAAAACCAAACGAAUGUGUCUGUUGCCGUUUGUGAAUUGUGAAUUGGCCUUAAAACACUAUUUUAUGUAACAUUUCAAUAUGAUACACUCCAUUAUAUUAGACAAACUCAAUUCAAAGGUUAAUUUAACUAUGAAGUACAAAAAAAAAAAAAGAGUCUAUACAAGUUUUAGGCUGUUUAAUUUGAGUAAUUUAACAUUUCAAACAGAACAAACAAAGAACUCACAAUUGUAAGUCUGGUCAUGUGCGGACAAGAUGGGAAGAAACAAAAAAUGUACCCAAAAGUUGAUCUGCAACCAUCAACACCCUACAAUUAAAAGAUUUUUGAGUUAAGCCAACACGGAUUUGUUAUAAUACAAAGCACAGUUAUCUACACAGGACAUACUGAACUUGUACCACACCUUUUGACCUGUUGUCUGAACUUACGUCAAAACAAGUUUGUUUGAAUUAGAUGGUGUUUUCAAAAAUUCAUCUAUACAAAAAGGUUGUAUCAUGCUACCAAAACAUUUUGAGUUCAGUCAUCUUGAACCGUUUUAUACUGUAUGAUGGCAAAAUAUAACUUAUUUUUUUUUUGCUAGUGAUAUGAUCUUAUAUCUAUUGCAAAUAAUAACAACAUUUUCAGUGUAGAAAACUGAAGUAUAUAACCAGGCCCGUAGCCAGCUAUGAGGUCACCGAGGUCCGAACCUCGGUAAAUUUUUCAUGUUCAAAAAUAAAAUUUGUUCUCUGAAUGACCAAUUUGCUAUUAAACUCCUCAUAUGUCUGUAUGUAUAAUUCAGUUUAGACAGUUUGCAAGAAUGUUUAGCGUCCGUGGUAUGAAAAUGAUCGCUGCGGGACGCUGGCGGAGUGAACGAGGCUUGAGAGAGUUGCGAGUGAGGACGCGAGCGCAGUCUCCGUGUUGCCAAAUCCAGCUAAUAUGCACGUUUUUGACUUGUCUUUCCCACUUAAUUUGACACUUUAGAAAGUUAAUAAUGUAGGACCUUGCGGUUUAGGGUCAGCGAUAUCUUUAUCUUAUCUUAUUUGCAAAAGAUUUGUAAUAUAUUCAGUUUAUUUUUAUUUACUGAUGGGCUUUUGCUCAUCUUAAUAGCAAUAUCUGGCAACACUGCAUCGCCGUAAUCACCAGUAAUCAAAAAAGCCCAUUUCUGACAUUCGAUAAGGGAAACGCAAAAAAAAAAAAAAAAAAAAUUCAUAUUAUCUGUCAGAAACGUUAUCAACGCUGUCAAAACAGUAGCAUUUAACACUAGUGCAGAGAUCUGUAGAAAAAGUAGGUUACAGAAUAAAAUGAAAUAUGCAAACACUAUGAAGAAGUAUAUGCCAAGUCAUUCAUAGUAGUUAAAUUUUCACAAAUCAUGCUAUAAACAUUUAUAAGAGCACUAGACAAAGUUAUCAGCUACACCGCAAUGGUUAUAAAUAAAAACUAUAACAGUAUUGUUGCAUGUAUAAUAAACAACUGAUAAAAUUAUCCACCCCAUAACUAUAGAAAUGUAUUAACAAAUUUUGAUGCAAUAAAUAGGGUAUGAUUUAAAAAUUAAAAUCCCUCCAAAACAGAGAAAACUUCUUUCUUUCACAAAAAUUUCUGUCUAUUUUAAAGUGUUAAUAGUGUAUAAUGAGUUGUAUAUAUAUAGGGGUUAUUAUAGCACAAUUCUAUAAUAAGAGGUUAUUAUAGCAUCCAAUCUCCCCCCAACCAUCCCCCCAUCCGGACCUCACUAAUUUUCAAAGCCUGGCUACGGCCAUGUAUAUAACUGCUUUGAACGCCAUGUUGACAGCAUGAAGUCAUGUGUGCAGUUAUUACUACCUCAGCUGACUGCAGACCAGCUGCAUGACAUACACAGAACACAUAAAAAGAAACACGCAUUGCUCAUUUAGUUUCUGUCAUGUGCACUUCUAAACACUCGGCCAUCAAUCACAGUAUCCUACAUCUGUCUGUCUUUGUCACCUUAUGGUAGUUUGUGCAACCUAUUGUCACGAGACAGUGAAUGAAAAUAACCUGUAACUUCUACAUGACCAUCUCUCAUAAGGGGUAUGACUGAGUCUGCUGUGAUUACUGUAUGUAUAUUGUGACAACUGAACUUUUUAAUAAUAGUCUCUUAGUAAGAACAGAUGUAGUAGGUUGACUGUUUUAAAUGUUUCCAUGUUUUAUGGGGUCUUUAUAUAGACAUAAUGUUUUUCAUACUGUACAAACAUUUCCAGAAUACCACAAUUUUAUGUUCUAAUCAAAUAUCUACCCACCCUGAAACACUGUAAAAUUGUGCACUGACUUGUUGUCUUGAAGGUUGUGUUGAUGUUUAUGCAAGUGCAACAAUCGCCAGCACCAGGAGAAUAUUGUCAUCACAUGUGACCCUGGACCACAAAACCAGUCGCUGGGGUAUAUUUGUAACAAUAGCCAAAAAUACAUUGCAUGGGUCAAAAUUAUUGAUUUUUAUUUAUUUAUUUAUGCCAAAAAUCAUUAGGAUAUUAAGUAAAGAUCAUGUUCCAUGAAGAUAUUUAGUAAAUUUCCUACUGUAAAUAUAUCACAACUUUUGAUCAGUAAUAUGCAUUGCUAAGAACUUCAUUUGGACAACUUUAAAGGCGAUUUUCUCAAUAUUUUGAUUUUUUUUGCACCCUCAGAUUCCAGAUUUUUAAAUAGUUGUAUCUCGGCCAAAUAUUGUCUGAUAUUGUCUAAUAUUUAUUCAGCUUUCAGAUGAUGUAUAAAUCUCAGUUUCGAAAAAUUGAUCCUUAUGACUGAUUUUGUGGUCCAGGGUCACAUAUACUGUCUGCUUGCUGACAGGCACAUCCACACCAAAGCAACAUUCAGACAGUAAAUGUAGUGCAUGUGGGAUAAAUCAACAUAUUAUUCUGUCUUGUAUUAAUUUGCAGAAAGAAAGAGAGAGAAAGAAAUCAGUUCCCAGAUGGGAUGUGCAGCUUACAGCUAAAUUUGGUUGACAAUUCACAUUUUAGUGCACACACAGUUCAGUAUGGGAGUGACAACCGAAUUGACCACGAAAAUCCAGGUAGUGACAACGGCCUUUACAGAAAUUACAUGCGGUGUGUAAAAAACCGAAGUCAACAACGAAUUCAAAGGUGUAUCAGAAUUGUGGUGCAAGAAAUCACAGGGAACAUGGUAGGUUUUGACACGGUGUUGCCAGAUUUUACUAUAAAAACGGCAAAUAAGAUCCAAACAUGUUAUCUUGGAAAUAAGCCACAUACCAAAAUAUCAUGACCUGCACCUGCCUAAUUAAUCAUCUCCAUAAAAUGGACUGAUUUAUGACAACAAUAAGCCCAACGAUGCUUAAUAAGUGUUGCUUAUAAUAAGUGGACAUGGCAACCCUUCUAGAGCAAGUUCUGCAAAGUAGCCUUCCAAACCGUAAACACGAUCGCUCUGUCGACAGUGGUUUAAUUCAAAUCGCCAAAUACAGUAUAUCAAGCGUUCGGUUGCUGUAAUAUUACUUUUGGCAAAAUAGCGGAGAUCGACCAAAUGCACAAGACGGCAAAAUGUUGCAAUUGUUACAACGGUGUCAGCAGUUGCAAUUUCAAGAGCAAAUUCUUUUCCUAUUCACACAAAACUGUGAUUAAGGGGAUUCACUCCAGAAUUUAAAUGCAGUUGUCACUCCUGAAACUUUACAGUGUGUACGUGGCCCCUGUUAGCAUUAAUCAUAAGAUCCUCCAAAAGUAUUAUAUACCCAGACUCAACAUUCCACUAGACUCAAGAUUCCAUUCCUUUCCAUGUUUAUAGAUUCCUGAACAUUCAUUGUUCUUCCCUCCCCCUCUUUUCAUCACAGAAGAUAUGCUUUACUGCUUCCUUCAUCUCACUCCGCUUAGACCACUGAACAGAAACAACAGAUCAAUAACGUGACACUGAAUGACCUUUAGCUUCAAUUGUUUUGCUGCAUCCAUAUAAUGGGUAUAUAUAUACAUUAAAUGUAUAUAAUACAUUUAAUAAUCCAUUACAAAACGUCUUACAUUAUAAUUUCUUGUUUCUAUUAGAGCAUUAGGACUAUAUUUCCAUCAAGGGCAAACUUCUACUGUAAUAGUCUCUCAUUUUGGUCCAAGACUCGAAUCAAUUGAAUCAAUAGAAUGGUUAAGUUUAUCUAUUUUAUUUGAUAUAAAACUCAAAACAGUCCAUGCACUGUUAGUUAUUCUGCUGUGAUCUGCAUCAAGUCGAGCUCUCGUGGUUAGGCCUCUUCAAUCGCAUCCCCCGUGCAGAGUCAGGUUACUAUAACUACAGGUUGUCACCAUAGUGACCUGUUUCCAAGUUGCCCCUGUAGUUCUGAAGUCACCCUAGUGCAAGUCAGCAUAAACUGCCUAUCUAGACAGUGUUUGGAAUAAAAGUACACUAUGCUUAUUACUAUAUGGAAAAUAAACAAUCCACUGAAACAUCUGGGGACAUUAAUCUAAGAUAUGUUACAAAUUAAUAUAAUUAAGAAAACCAGAAGACUACAUAUUAACAAACAAUUACUGAAGUUCAUGUUACUCAUUUAUUUAAUCCAGUCCAUCUGUUAUUUAGUUAUUUACACUGUACCGUGGACAUUGGCUAAGUUUAAAAUAGCACAAUAUCAUUCUAUGCCUACGAUUUCUGUGAAAAGUCAAUUUACUUCAUUAACUUGUAUCUUUAUAUAUAUGUAAAAUGUGUAUCAAAGCUUUGGAAGAUCAAAUCAAUCAAAAUGUGUUAAGUAGUUAAAAAUCUAAAUAAUUAAAAAAAAAAUAAACAUAUCAUUUAAAUAAUAAUAAUAACAAUAAUUAAUAUUUUGACAUGUACACUGCAACAUAAUGAAAUGCAUAUUUUCCCAAGCAUUCUAGUUUCUGAAAAAAGAAAAUAAUUAUAUAUAUAUAUACACACACACACACACACACACACACACACACACACAUGGUAUAAAAUACCAAUAAACACAAAAAAAAAAGUACUGAAUAAAACUUAUGAAGAACAUGUACUUUUGUAACUUAAUAAGACACUUAAUAAAAGUAAGUAAGAACAUUAAUUUCUGUAACUGUGUGUUAAUAUGUAAUUUUUGGUUGUUGUUUUUUAUUUUAAUGUGUAAUAUAUUUGACAUGCACACUGCUAUCUAAAAUGUUACUAAUUUCCCAAACAUUUCAGUUACUGGAAUUAAGAAAAUUAUUAGUAAAAACAAUUAUGUAAAUUACAAACAAUUACAUAAAUGUGCUCAAUAAAAGUAGCGAAGAGCAUGAACUUCUGUAGUGUCUGUUAAUAUUUAUAAAUGUUCCCACACAUUCUAGUUUCUGUCUAGCUUUGUGGCUUGAUUUCUGGCUGCACUAAACCUGAGCUUUAAGGCCAUGGAAAUAUAUGAAAUACCUUUUGUAUUAAGGUACAGUAAUGUGUAUAAUGCGACUAAUAAAGUCAAAAGCUAAUGAAAACAUUAUCUCAGAUAGACGCUCUGGUUUCAUUUGUUGUGUAUCUUUUGUAGCCCUGCGGACAUGCAGAGAAAAGAAGAGCUGGCCUGCUUGCGUUCCCAAGAAAUCCACAGGUGGUCUACAGAGACAAUCGUCUGGCUUUUGAGUCUUUAUUGAGUUUGUAAAGCAAGUGAAAUAGCGGCAGGAGCACUGUGAAGGCCAUCAACACAACAAUUUAGUUUGAGCGAACACCUCCUGCUGCUUUGAUUAAAUUCCCAAAGAGCAGCUCGAUUACUGACCUUUCUGUUGACUGAUGUUCACGACUUUGACACCGCUGGACUUUGGGUCCUUUAAACUUUGUGGCAUUUGUAAAUGAUUUGGCACGUUUUAAAUGUUUGCUCAGGCCACUAGCUUAACAGGCAUUGCCAGCUAACGUCAGGCUGAUCUGCCAUUGACUGUUAUUGUUGUUCUAAUCUGACUGUAGAUCAAGAUCUUUACGUGGCUCAUGGAAACCACGGCACUGAGAUUUGUAAGAAUAACAAUCCAAGUGCUAGAAGCUAACUGUGUAAACCCUGAUAAGCUUUUGAUAGCUUUAUUGAAGCCACCCCGGAAAACAACAACGCAGAUAUAAUUUAGGAAUGUGUGAUAGUAUUGUUUUCUCUCUCUCUGGCUUGGUCCUAGAAUCACAUGGCAUCUUAAUCGCAUUACUCAAGGUGGCGGGUCGAAUGUGACUGCUACUGUUCUACACUAGCAAGUGGCCCAGUUUAUAGCACUAAUCCUGCUCUAAUACUAGCACAGCUGAUGUACUGUAACCUCUCACACACAUAAACUCCAUCAACCGUUGUAGUACUGUUGGCCCUUCAUUCAGAACUCCAUUGAAGGAUACCUUUUUAUCCCAAAGUUAGUUACAGCAUGUCACUUUAAGUGAUCAAAAUCUGCAAAUCUUGUGUCAGGCGAUUGAAAACGGUAGGGUUAAAUGGCAAAUGACAGUGUCCGCAUCAAAAAACAAAAACAAAACUCUUCGUAAUAUCUUCUUAUGUGUUCAACAGAAGAAAAGAAGCUCGUACAAGUUUCGAACAACUUGAGGGGGUGUAAAUUAUCACUGAAUUUUCUUUUUUUUGGUGAACUAUCCUAACAUGUGACUAACAUGUAACAAGUUCUUAUAUUCUCUUUGGAUCCAUGCUGGUUUUAUAUGGGUUUUUUUCCCCUUACACAAUGAAUACAUGUGCACAUACUUAUCAUUUUAAAAUAAAAUAAAAUAAAAAUAUAAAAUACUGUAAGGUAAAAAAGUUUUUAUUAAUUAUCAGAAGUAUACCGGGGCAUCAGUUUACUGUCCGCAUUCACUGUAGAUAGUAUAUAUAAUGGGUUCUAUACUGUUGUCUUUUGUCGAGUUGCACCGCGCAGCACUCACGUCUGAGGAAGACACGGAAGCACCGGGGCAGCGCCGCGGGUUUUUCCCGGGGAUGAACCCGAGAGAGUGGAAGAGCUCUGGAGAACAUCUGCACUGUGUGUCGAUGCACCUUACGAGAGAAUAAGACCAGGAAGCAAGGCAACUGCAAUGAAGCAUCAAGAAAGACAUGAACAUGCCAGCCACCCUGAGACUGAUAAUUUAUGAGAAGACAUUUCUGUCACUAACAAAGUGGAUGGUGAGCAAAGAUGGUGGCCACGUUUUGGAGCAGCACCUGGGUUUUGCAGAUAGCUAUGUAUUCUUUGGCUGCUUGUCUUUUUCCCCCCAUUAUGUUUCUGUUGCCUAAGAUUCUUUGUGAGGAUAAGUCCACAGGAUACAACAUAAUGCACUGCAAAACAUCGUAAAACAGGAGAAAUGGUGAAGAUGCACUGUUUCAGCAU